rnacentral:rRNA from 1 species
GAUGAACGCUGGCGGCGUGCCUAAUACAUGCAAGUCGAGCGAACAGACGAGGAGCUUGCUCCUCUGACGUUAGCGGCGGACGGGUGAGUAACACGUGGAUAACCUACCUAUAAGACUGGGAUAACUUCGGGAAACCGGAGCUAAUACCGGAUAAUAUAUUGAACCGCAUGGUUCAAUAGUGAAAGACGGUUUUGCUGUCACUUAUAGAUGGAUCUGCGCCGCAUUAGCUAGUUGGUAAGGUAACGGCUUACCAAGGCAACGAUGCGUAGCCGACCUGAGAGGGUGAUCGGCCACACUGGAACUGAGACACGGUCCAGACUCCUACGGGAGGCAGCAGUAGGGAAUCUUCCGCAAUGGGCGAAAGCUUGACGGAGCAACGCCGCGUGAGUGAUGAAGGUCUUCGGAUCGUAAAACUCUGUUAUUAGGGAAGAACAAAUGUGUAAGUAACUGUGCACGUCUUGACGGUACCUAAUCAGAAAGCCACGGCUAACUACGUG